rnacentral:rRNA from 1 species
GGUUGACCUCGGAUCAGGUAGGAAGACCCGCUGAACUUAAGCAUAUCAAUA